AGUGUCCGCAGCGGCCAGGGAAUCGAGCACCCCCUACAGGGGCUCCCUCUCCUUCAAGAGGGGCUUCUGUAGGGUCAGGACCUCAGGAGGGAAGGGUAUGAGAGGUUAGGGAUAGGCUGGGUGGGGGUGAAUUGGGGACUUAGGGUCUUGAGGGAGGGGGUCCCGUGAGGGGCUGUAAUCAGGUCAGGGACCUAGAAGGGAGGGGGAGGGGGAGCCACCAGGCCUUCGGCUCCGGCCCCUACGCCCCACCCCCUCUCGGAGGGAGCCGGGGAGUUGAGCCUGCGGGCGCCCUGCGUCCCUCCCCACGCGUGACGGUGCCCCGCGGGGAGGGAAGGGCGCCCCAGGCAAGCAGCCUCUGUGCUGUCGCCAGUGCCCGCUGCGGCCUUGGCAUUGUCGGAGGGGAGGGGCCCAGUCUGCGAAGGGGGAGGGGGCGCGCCGACGCUUUUGCUCCCCACCUCCAUCCCGCGGGUUCCCUAAGUGGAGAAACUGAGUCUCCACCGAGGAGGGAUAGCUUGACAUGAAUUCGCUGAGAGACCCAGGUGGCGAGGGGUGCCUGGAUGUUUUGGGAUGUGUGGUAUGUGUAGGUUUUGGGGAGGACCGGGAUAAAUACUUAGGAGUCCCCCAACUGAGAAAGGUAGCGGGUGAAGGAUGUUUCUGACUGAGCCUGCGGAGCUGCGUACCCCAAAGGGCCCCUCCCACUAGUGUCAAAUGGAAUCAAAUCCGGCUACCUAGGGCCAGGUUUGGCUCCCCUGCGACAAGCCAGGCCGAACCGGGUCGGACUCGCUUUCCCCUCCCAACCCCCCUCCGCAGGGGGCCUCCCUCCCUUUCCAGCAGGUGGCUUCUCGGGACACCAGCUCAACCUGUUGGACCACAAUGGGCGGCGCCAGGGGGGCCCUGGCCCUCACCCGGGCUGACCCGGGAUCCCCGCGCACGAGGGGCGGAGUCCAGGUCCCUCCCUCCCUCUUUCUCCCUCUCUCCCUCUCCGCGCCGGGCCGUGACUCAGCCUCGGGGCCGCUGCCCUGCGCCCCAGCCAGGGGCGGAAAGUGUGAGGCGCCCCUGAGGGCUCAGGCCAAACCAAACAGCCCCCCACCCCAGACAUUAUCUCACUGGAGAAUUAGGGGGGCUAUAGGAAGGAGGAGGUAGCGGCAGGCAUGGGGCGCUCUGGCUCGAGUAAUCCGCUCCGGGUUUUCCUAUCGUCCCUGACCCCCUUGGGUCGCGAGGCUGAUCACUGCUCCGGGUUUUCUUCUCAGCCCCGCCGGACAGAUCCUGGUCCGGAGGGGCCCGGAGCCGUCCAGGCCGGGGUUUUCCCC
ensembl:lncRNA novel transcript